CUCAAGUGCACGUAAGGGACCCCGUGGCCUAUUUGGAAAUCUUUAUUGUGACAGACGGCCUUGCAAAGAAGGAGACAAUGCCCGAUGCGACUAUCCUACAUGCGAAUGUGUGCGGAGAGGUGGUGGCUACUACUGCAGCUCUUUAAUUUGGUACUAAUGUCCUUAAUAAAAUCUAGCACA